AAAUUAAAGAGUUUGAUCAUGGCUCAGAUUGAACGCUGGCGGCAGGCCUAACACAUGCAAGUCGAACGGUAACAGGAAGCAGCUUGCUGCUUCGCUGACGAGUGGCGGACGGGUGAGUAAUGUCUGGGAAACUGCCUGAUGGAGGGGGAUAACUACUGGAAACGGUAGCUAAUACCGCAUAACGUCGCAAGACCAAAGAGGGGGACCUUCGGGCCUCUUGCCAUCGGAUGUGCCCAGAUGGGAUUAGCUAGUAGGUGGGGUAACGGCUCACCUAGGCGACGAUCCCUAGCUGGUCUGAGAGGAUGACCAGCCACACUGGAACUGAGACACGGUCCAGACUCCUACGGGAGGCAGCAGUGGGGAAUAUUGCACAAUGGGCGCAAGCCUGAUGCAGCCAUGCCGCGUGUAUGAAGAAGGCCUUCGGGUUGUAAAGUACUUUCAGCGGGGAGGAAGGGAGUAAAGUUAAUACCUUU
rnacentral:rRNA from 1 species